ACUUCAUCUUGCAACAGAUUCAAAAGUUAUCCAGUUAUUUGUCUUGUAGACUGGGUGAGAGUCUUCCAGAGGGAGCACCACCCACCACUGAAGCAGGCACACUUUCAAAAGAAAGACCAGACCUUUGAACAGGAGGAGUUCAGCUGCAGGAGUUGAAGCAUUUUAUUUUCUCCAGAAAAAAAACCUGGUAGUUUCAAUAGCAUCCAGCUAUUGAAACUUCCAGCUCUCUGCAAGUGUAAUCAAAAUGGUUAAUCUGCCUUUGACAUAAUAGCAUGGAGCUUAUUUUGGAUUCCUCAGUAAGGAGGGCUCGGGUGAGGCAGUGAAACCAAGGCUUCCCCUUUCUUGUGAGUAAAGCACAUCCAGUAUGCUGGGUGAACAGAGAGAAUAGUGGUGAGAAAAUGGUAAAAGAUUUUCUGGUUUUAGCCGUUCACAAGGGGAUAUACUAUGUAUUUGGGAAUGACAAAAAAUCUUCUCUACCUGUCUUGAUUGAUAUUGGAUGUAUUGGUACAAAUUUAUGAAUAAUAAAUUCACUGUAAUAAGCUGCUAGAAAUUCAUAAAAGCUACUGGUUCCUGUAUCCUUUUAUCUGGGUUUACUUGGAAUUGUAGUAUUUUUUAUAAUUAAUAAAAGCCUGAGUCAAACAA